CAUAGCCGCGGUAAUACAGAGGGUGCGAGCGUUAAUCGGAUUUACUGGGCGUAAAGCGUGCGUAGGCGGCUUUUUAAGUCGGAUGUGAAAUCCCUGAGCUUAACUUAGGAAUUGCAUUCGAUACUGGGAAGCUAGAGUAUGGGAGAGGAUGGUAGAAUUCCAGGUGUAGCGGUGAAAUGCGUAGAGAUCUGGAGGAAUACCGAUGGCGAAGGCAGCCAUCUGGCCUAAUACUGACGCUGAGGUACGAAAGCAUGGGGAGCAAACAGGAUUAGAUACCCCCGUAGUCCCUGUCUCUUAUACC
rnacentral:rRNA from 1 species